AUUGUGCAGAGAAACAGACUGGCUACAGUUAGUCAACUGACAGGCCAGUACAACAUUGGUGCCCGAAGACCUAUAAAAGAAUGCACAACUUGACGUACCUUGACACGAAUGGAGUUACAGAGUUACACUUUUUUCAGUAAAAAACAAGAAUCUGCGGUUGCAGUGGGCUAAGGAAAGAAAACACUGGAGAAUUGGAAAAACAUUGCCUGGUCUGAUGAAUCGUGGUACACUCAGUGUAUAGUAGUUAUGCUUUUGCUAACUGCUUUCCUAGUUAUCUGACUUUAACGCAUUCCCAUGAGUGAGAGUGAGAAGGAAUAGAUUACAGUUUUGAACAAAAAUGGAAAUACAGUAUGAGAAAUAAAGUGGUCUUGGAAUCUAGUAAAUACAAACCUAUUUCUGACUCGUUUUAAGUUGGAGUGAAGGUUUUGGACUGAUGGAGUUACCUGGGAGAUCCAUUCGACAUCUCAAUGAAAAUUGCAGAUGCGUUGGAUGAGGUUCCGUCAGAAAUUUCCACGACAUUUGGCGCAGAGGAUGGGAUGUGAAUCUUCACUUGGUGACCAUUCCUGAGGAUCUAGGUAAAUAAAUCGUGCACGAGGGAUCCCUCAAACGUGAGAUCUUAGGGAAACCACACUUCGGGAACAAAGCAGAUGGACCAACCUUUGAUCUGAGAGGAAGCGAGCCGAGUGGAUACCACAUCCCGAACAGAGUUUUUUUAAAGAAAAAGGUAAGCGAACCACACAGAUUGAAGUCAACUUUUUAAAAUAUGCCUCGGUUGCGUAUACUCUGAGUGUGAAUUCCUUUGUAAGGAGGGCACCUCGGAGGUGUGAGGAGGGCCCGAGUCAGAGGAGAGUAAUCUGAGAGUUUGUGGACUCAAAGAUACUCUGCCACUGUCCGGUUGCGAGUGACCAAGAGCUGUCCUGACACUGAAUUGAUCACAGUGGGGAUUGGUGCAGUCUGUGGGGGUGAGGGGCCAGGAGACUGUGUGUUUCUGUGUGAAACAUGGUACUUGGUGAAGCCCUAUUGGAAGAAGGACCUCAUUCUGUGUGUCUGUGUGAUUGUCUAAGUGACCCUCAGAGGUGGUGAAUUCCAAUUAUUAUACAUUUGCUAGCCAGGUAUGCCCUGGGUUACUCUGUGUGAGUUUUGUUAUGGGAUCACUAGGUAAUAUUUGUCGGACCGUUCUGUGUGAGCGGGGUAGGUUGACUCUGUGUGAGUACCUUUCAAGUAUGUUCUGAUGUUCUGUGUGAACGUCUGACCAGUUCUGUGUGAACAUCUGACCAAUCCUGUGUGGGGGAUCCUUAAAGUUCUGUGUGAGUACCUAAGAUUUUCUUACGUUUUACAUGGAUUCAGUGAAUUAUUUUGAAAUUAUGAUAAAUUGUAUGUGUGUAUAAUCAAUUACUGGGUGUUUCAUUGUCUCUCUUUGAAAUGUUUCCUGGGACUAUAAUCUUGGGGAGAGUGAGUGAGAUUGAGGCCAUAAACGACCAAAUUGAAAGGGGCCUGGAAGUUUUUGUUUUUACCUUAAGGUUUGAAAAAUACACACACAUAAAAGAUUUGUUAUGACCAUUUGUUGGUGUUUUUAAAAUACUAUGUUUGAUUUGUUUUUUAUUUUUUCCUUUGGGUUUGGUGAGUUUUCCAUUUGUUUUAGUGGAAAGGUAUCUUAAAGGGGCACACACGCACAUGCAAUUUUAUGGAGUUUCAUGGAGUUGGAGUUUUAAUUAAACACGUUAAUUCUUUUGAUAAAGGAAUGUUCUGGGAACCUGGGAUACAACAUGUAGGAACUAUUUGACUAUUGUUUGCAAUUUGUCUAAUAUAGUAAAACACACUUCUUUGAAGGGGUUUGUAUGACCUAUGACCUCUAUGAUGACCUUCCGUUGUGGCUUGAUCACCCGCAUUGGAAAGCCGUUUGGAUAAUGAAUUUAUGUUCGUUUGUAAUACUGCUUUCAAGAUAAUUUGUGUAAUUGAUAAAUAUGUUUGAGUUUAUAGUUCUUAGCCAUAUUUGUAAUUUGGACCAAUGUGUAAUGUGAGAGGGCAUUGCUUUUAACUGAGGGUAUGCUGCUUUAAGUCUAUUUUCCUAUGACCAUAUGGGUUUAAUACUUUUUCUUUGUGGAGUUUUUUCAGUUUAGUGAUUUUCGUUUGAUUAGUUUAUUUGAAAUAUAUAUAUUUUUUAAAUCCAGUAGUAGUUUUGUUUUUUACAUUACUCUCAUGGAGAUAUAUGUGUAAAACAUGGGGGACGAUUCAGUUUUUUGAGGUUUUGAAUUGAAGUUUAUACACCUUGAGUGAUAUGUGAAGGAGUGUAUUGUAUUGUAUUGUUGUGUUUGUUUUGUUCUAUUCCCAAGGGGUAUAGGUCUAACUUCUUGAUCCUUGGCUCUACGAUGGAGUUGACAGUGAGAUGGGGAGUAUAAGCCAAUUUGAAAGAAUAGUUUCAAUAGAAUGUGUUGAUAUUCUCUUUGAAAUAUGUUUAGAUAUGUGUAUUAAGAAUAAUUGGUAAAAGUAAUACUUUGUCAUGUAGUUAAUGAACUGAACUAAACUGUUGUUCUGAUCUGUUCUUUCGAGGUGAUCAUGAAAAGUGACAUCAGACGGUAUGGAAGAGAUAAUUGGACCGAAUAGCAUGUGUACCUCAAAACCCCCUCUAACUGACUGAAGAAGAGUGACAAAGGCGUUGAAUAAGGCCCUUCCAAACCACUUCUACCGAGAGAAAGGAACCAAGCCAGAAAUCGGUGUACAGUAUCAGAUCUAAGCUGUUAACUGCUUUUCUUUCAUGCUUCUCUCAGUCCACAUGGAGUGAUCAUGGAGAGAGAUCUGUUCUAACCUUUUCUUAUGGUACUGGUAUAUUGGUUGACGAAUGGACAAGACAUGAGUGGUAAAGAUGAGACAUUGAAAUUGGAACAUUGUCAUGGGCCAUCCACUUUGAACUGUAAAGCUAUCUGAAGAAGAACGAAAAGAACGCCAUAAGAAUCAGUGCCUGAGAGGGGGGGUUGGUCAACUGUGCCAAUAAAAUUGUUUUAUACUUUUGUGGUAUCAGGUUGAUUGUAGAGGUCUACACCAUGUAAAAUUAUAGUAAUUUAGAUUAUGAAUGCAUUGAGAUACUGAUCUGUAUUAUAAUCAUGAUUAAAAAAGUUCAUGGUAGAAUUAUGAGAUAAUUAUCCUGAAUGAAUGUGAAAUCUGCUAAUAUUGAUGUGUGUUAAAUUGAGGUUUUUACUUUGAGUGAUAAGACCAAUUUGAAUUACUGAGGAAUGUCAUUCUAAAUUUUGGUUGGAUAAAUAGUUGGGUUGUUAAUUAUGAUUUGGAAUAUGAAUGAUUUUACAUUUGAAGAACUACAUGGAGUACUGUCUGGUGUGGUCCCACCCUCUCAGACCCCAGAGCUUGAGCAGGGUAUUUUAGUUUUUGAAGGAGCGGGAGUGUAUAUAUUUUAUAUUUUGUAGUGUGUGAAUUAAUGUUAAUUUUCCCUUUGCCUCUAUUGUAUUGUGUUCUGGAGAAAAUGGGGGUCAUAUUAGCAGUAACUGCAUAAAGUUAUUGUGAACCAAGGCAAAUAAAAGCAAUUUUUCUCAGUU